AGCGAAAAGAUUACGUACGAUCCCCACACUGGACAGAAAUUAAGCCGUGGAACUUGGAAUUACAAGCCUCCAGUGAAUAGCGAUAUACCAAUGGAUUUCCGUAUCACAAUGCUGAAGAAUGCGGCCCAUCCAAAUGGAAUUUUACGUUCUAAAGCUACCGGUGAGCCUCCGUUAUGCAUGUCCGUCUGGGUGCUUUGCGC